GCAGUAACCAUGUGGAUGUGCUGCUGAGGCGUUUCCUCAGGCUCGCUGGGGUGGGAGGAGAGGAGGAGGAGGAGGUGGUGGAGGAGGAGGAGGCAGGGGGUGGAGAGAGAGAAAGCGCACGCCGAGAGGAGGUGUGGGUUUUCCGCUUCCAUUCUAACGGAACGAGCUCUCUCUUCGCGGACAUGGGAUUACCUAGCGGCUGCUAACCCCUCUCCUCGCCCUGCUCCCCCAAACCGGCGCGGCUCCCGGGCACCAAGGAGCUGACUGCAGAGAAGCAGGAUUUGCACCCCUGGCUGUGCGUGUUUUGGCAACAGAGUGCCUGACCCGGGUCAGGAUUUUCAAGAAAGACAUGUCUGACAAAAUGUCUAGUUUCCUACAUAUUGGAGACAUUUGUUCUCUGUACGCGGAGGGAUCGACAAAUGGAUUUAUUAGCACCUUGGGACUGGUUGAUGAUCGUUGUGUUGUGCAGCCAGAAACUGGGGACCUUAACAACCCACCUAAGAAAUUCAGAG